rnacentral:lncRNA from 1 species
GUGUAGUGAGGAGAUUGGGGGAGGUUUGAUACAUACCCGAUUUUAGACGGAAUCUUAUCUCACUGAGUAAACUGGAUUCGAGAGGCUACAGGACGGUAGCUGUUAGAGGAAUCUUGAAGGUGCUACACGGCGAUAGGAUUGUUCUGGAGGGGAAGAAGGGGAAGAGAAGACAUUAUUACCUGAUGAGAAGUCCAGUGCGAGGUGG